AUUAACACGUCACACAAGAUGCGCAGCGAAAAGGAAACUUGCUUCUUAUUGUUCAUGAUGGUUUCUGAAACUGUUGAUCUUAUUUUGGACUGGGAUUUUGCAUACGAAAUAGCCCAAAGCAGUGAUCCAAAUGUGCAGAGUACUAAAUAUUAGAUCUUAGGAUUUGCCAUUUGGGGGACCUUUUUGUAUUUAACAACAAUCGUUUUUCUGUGUUGCGAUCUUUGUAAUGGCGACGACGAAGAGCAUCCAUGUAUGGCGUCUCUUUCUUUACUGUCGACCGUCACAGAGGACAUGCCACAAAUCGUCCUCGCUAUCACUGUUGCAAGACAUACGACACAUCUGAUAUCUGUGGUUCAAAUCUUGAAGGCUGUGUACGGAAUAAUUGAGCCUCUUGUAAGAGCAAUAAAAUUAUCAUGCGACAGAAAACACAGUAAGAAAACGUUCCGAAGUCCAUCUCAUGAUAACGAAUGUCAGAAAUGUUUUGAUAUGAUCUGCAGUUCCAUUCUGUGCGUCUGCUCUAUUGCUCUCUUUUUUAUGGUUUUGGCAAUUCGAUAAAUUUGAAAUUUUAAUUUCAAUCUGGCCAGAAUCAGUUGAAUUACCGCUGUUUUUGCAUCUCUGGCAUGGUUUGUCUUUUUGCCCUUGUCUUGAUAUUUGUUUAUAAUUGUUUUAACAUUUAAUAAAAAUGUUAGUGUACUGAUUUCGCACCACCUAUCAAAACUUUUGCAAAAUGAAAGCUAUAAGGAUAGGCAAAUGGGAUGACGCUAUGUACAUGUAUAUAAAUAGAGAAAAAACUUUAAUGUACAAAUUAAAGAAGGAUGCAUCAGAACAAUAAUGCUGUCAAUGAAUUAACCAAAUUAAGUUCAAUGUAAAAAGAGUAAAAACUUAACAUAAAAAAGGAAUUCUAUGAAAAAUCUUUCAGAAGUGGAUUAUUUAAUAUUAAAUC
rnacentral:misc_RNA from 1 species